GACGAACGCUGGCGGCGUGCUUAACACAUGCAAGUCGAACGGUAAGGCUCCAGCUUGCUGGGGUACACGAGUGGCGAACGGGUGAGUAACACGUGGGUGACCUGCCCUGCACUUCGGGAUAAGCCUGGGAAACUGGGUCUAAUACCGGAUAGGACCGCACCGUGAGGGUGUGGUGGAAAGUUUUUUCGGUGUGGGAUGGGCCCGCGGCCUAUCAGCUUGUUGGUGGGGUAAUGGCCUACCAAGGCGGCGACGGGUAGCCGGCCUGAGAGGGUGGACAGCCACAUUGGGACUGAGACACGGCCCAGACCCCUACGGGAGGCAGCAGUGGGGAAUAUUGCACAAUGGGCGGAAGCCUGAUGCAGCGACGCCGCGUGGGGGAUGACGGCCUUCGGGUUGUAAACUCCUUUCACCAUCGACGAAGGGUUUCUGACGGUAGAUGGAGAAGAAGCACCGGCUAACUACGUGCCAGCAGCCGCGGUAAUACGUAGGGUGCGAGCGUUGUCCGGAAUUACUGGGCGUAAAGAGCUCGUAGGUGGUUUGUCGCGUCGUCUGUGAAAUUCCGGGGCUUAACUCCGGGCGUGCAGGCGAUACGGGCAUAACUUGAGUACUGUAGGGGAGACUGGAAUUCCUGGUGUAGCGGUGAAAUGCGCAGAUAUCAGGAGGAACACCGGUGGCGAAGGCGGGUCUCUGGGCAGUAACUGACGCUGAGGAGCGAAAGCAUGGGGAGCGAACAGGAUUAGAUACCCUGGUAGUCCAUGCCGUAAACGGUGGGCGCUAGGUGUGGGUUUCCUUCCACGGGAUCCGUGCCGUAGCUAACGCAUUAAGCGCCCCGCCUGGGGAGUACGGCCGCAAGGCUAAAACUCAAAGGAAUUGACGGGGGCCCGCACAAGCGGCGGAGCAUGUGGAUUAAUUCGAUGCAACGCGAAGAACCUUACCUGGGCUUGACAUAUACAGGAUCGCGCCAGAGAUGGUGUUUCCCUUGUGGCUUGUAUACAGGUGGUGCAUGGUUGUCGUCAGCUCGUGUCGUGAGAUGUUGGGUUAAGUCCCGCAACGAGCGCAACCCUUGUCUUAUGUUGCCAGCACGUUGUGGUGGGGACUCGUAAGAAACUGCCGGGGUUAACUCGGAGGAAGGUGGGGAUGACGUCAAAUCAUCAUGCCCCUUAUGUCCAGGGCUUCACACAUGCUACAAUGGUCGGUACAGUGGGUUGCCAGUCCGUGAGGGCGAGCUAAUCCCGCAAAGCCGGUCUCAGUUCGGAUCGGGGUCUGCAACUCGACCCCGUGAAGUCGGAGUCGCUAGUAAUCGCAGAUCAGCAACGCUGCGGUGAAUACGUUCCCGGGCCU
rnacentral:rRNA from 1 species